rnacentral:lncRNA from 1 species
AUUUCUUUGGGCCGCUCCCGCGGCAUAUGGAGGUUCCCAGGCUAGGGGUCAAAUCGGAGCUGUAGCCACCGGCCUACACCAGAGCCACAGCAACGCAGGAUCCGAGCCGCGUCUGCAACCUACACCACAGCUCACGGCAAUGCCGAACCAUUAACCCACUGAGCAAGGGCACAGACCGAACCCGCAACCUCAUGGUUCCUAGUCGGAUUCCUUAACCACUCAGAUUGCAAGAUUCUUUCUGUUCAUGUUCUCAAAACAUUUUCCACUUUUCCCUGGUCCAUGUUUUUAUUUAAUUCAGUCUUCUUUUACUAUUUACCAAACCAAGCAAAAUCUUGGAAAGCACACCAACAACUUUAAAUUUAGAUAUUAAAAAUAAAUAUAUACCAUGUUGACUAUAGUUAUCAAUACUGUAACAUAGAUGCGUGUAUGUGUAUAUACAUAUAUUUGAAAGCUGCCAAAAAAAUAAAUCUUAAAGAUUUUCCUCUCAGGAAAGAAAAAUUUUAACUGGGUGGUGAUGGAUGUUAACUAGACUUAUUGUGGUAAUCAUUUCACAAUAUACACAUAUAUCAAAUCAGCAUGUGGUACACCUGAAACUAAUACCAUGUGGUUUUAUGGCAACUGUAUCUUGAGAAAAGAAAAUAAAUUCUAAAAGUAACUCAUUUCAAUAAACAGACCUAUAUAAAAUACUACUCAGUAUAAAAAUUUCACCUGAUUGUGAAUUGCCAAAUUCAGGUAAUUCUACACUAGAAUGGUGGUGAAGCUUGCUGUAGUCGAAAUAUGCAAGAGAGACAGUUCAAGCCAUACCAACAAUUCUUACUGUUAUCUUGCGCCCAUUCCUGUGAGGCAGCUGGAAUAAAUUUCAUCUUGCCGACUGCCUAAGUGUUACAUCUGGAAACCCUGAGUGAACACGUGCCAUGCUUCCUAUUUACACCAAGGAUAGCCCAUUUGCAUCCACUGGUGCCCAGAGAAGCUGUCUUUCUUUAAUCCAACUCUGUUCAGCCAGACCCACACAUGUACUCCUGGAUCCAUCCGUCAGGCAUCAAGAAUUACAAUACUUGGAAGACUAAUCCUCCAGUCUAAACGUUUAAAUGUCAAAUGCUAAAUUACGCUGCAGGAUCUGGAGGGAGGAACUUGCAAACAUGACUCAGUCACACAUCUGGUUCAGCCCUGUCCAGAUGUCAGAACGCAUCAGUCAUUGCAGAUUAAUUUAUAAUGAGAGAAAUCAAGGCACGACCCAUGCGGUCUCAAAGGUCUAGUUAGAUGACGAUGAAGACCUAUGGAGCUCCCUCAAGUGUGGCUGACUCUCCAACCUAUUAAGAGUAUACGUUUCUGACAUUUUAAAUAUCUGAAGUCGGUGAUUUUAGCCCCUUGGGAAAAACAAUGUUAUAGCAUGUAAUUUAGGUUAUUUCAACAGAGCCUGUUCAAUCUUAAAUCAUCAUUUCUAGCGCAUUCAAGCAAUGCUUUUUUUUUGUAAAGCCACUUUGCACAAUAGUGCUGGCAAUCACAGAAUAUAACUUGACAACAAAUUACUUGUACAGUGUGCAACACAAGUCCCGGGAGCCAGGGACCUUGCUCCUUGUCUUCGUCAGUUUCGGCAAUGACGCCUUGCUUCCCAGCCUGCUGCUAAUGCACUGGCCUCAAAAACACAUAAGCCCCAAGUGCUCGCCAACAUGUUGAUAUCACCUCCAGGGCGGCCACUUUCUUUCUUUUCCUUUUUGAAAACUCACUGGUUUUUUGCUUUUUGUUUUUUAAGUCAUUCGUAUCCAAUCCGUCAGCAUCAACAGUCAUCUUCACGUACGAAUGUUAACACUGUAUUACUAAAGAAGUCUUGGUAAUUUGUUUUGGGGGGAGAGUUGAAAGGGGGUGACACUAACCAAGCAAGCCAAGGGAAAAUAAUUUCAACCAUUCUGAAAGCUGAUCUCUGGGAAGUCAGAGAGAGCAGAUUAAUGCCCCAGGCAGGCACAUUUCGAAGAAGAUGGUGUGUAUUACAGCUAAGAAGGGCAGACCAAGAGAUCUCACAGGGACUGGCCCAGUUAAAAGUCGCAGAAAAUGCGGGAAAUGAAAACCGAUAGAUCUGGUAUGGAUUACACUCAUUCCUGUAAAUUCCCAGUUUGGGAACACCGUAUUUGAUGAUCGAGAAAGAUCUGGAAGGGAACUAGAUUAUCACUGACAACUAGAUCUAAAUGGAUAGAAUUAACAUCUUUAUUGGUGCUCCAUCUAUCAUCAGCUGUUAAGGGCAGAUUUUUUUUUUCUUUUUCACUAAAGACAUAGGUAUAAAACUAGAGGUUCUGUACAAAAGAGUAAAAGGAAAGCAGAUUUUAUGACUCCUGGAAAGUUUUUUACCCAAGAAAUCCUGUGAGAUGAUUUGAAUAUGAAUGCUUUUCCUCCAGGGGAACCUAUAUUUAAAAAGUUAAUCUGAUAACCAAUUAAUAUCAUAAAUUGUAUUAUGAUAUUAUGCUAUAUAAUGGUAUUUUUCUCACCAAGACUUUUUAAUAUUAGCAUCAAAAUAAAUCAGUAGCAUUAUGAGCAGUGCCUUCCAUGAUAGCCCAGUACUUGGCUCCAUAAAUGCUACAUGAUAAAUUUCAUUUCCCAUCAUCUAUCACCAUCUUUUAUUACCUCCUCAGUAUCAUCAACAAAGCUUGUUAAUAUAUAGCUGCAAAGAAAUAUUAAGCCUCACAUUUUAUAAUAAAUAUUUCUGGGAGAUAAAAACUGUACUUAAAAAUAUAUCUGAGUGAUAAUAAAAGUUUACACUAGUUGCAUGCUUCAUUUUUUAGCAACUUGACAAAUUAUUUUCCAAGGUGGUUACACAAUUUCACAUUCCUACCAGCAAUGUAUCAAUAAUCUAGUUUCUUUUCUUCUUUGCCAGCAUUUGAUGUUGUCACUAGUUUUUAUUUUAGUCACUCUAAUAGAUGCACAGUGAUAUGGCACUGUGAUUUUAUUUCAUUUUAUUG